rnacentral:lncRNA from 1 species
UAAGCCAGUCGCAAAAGGACAAAUACUGCAUGACUCCACUUACAGGAGACUUACAGGAGGUCCCUAGAGUAGUCAAACUGAUAAAGACAGAAAGUAGAAGGGUGGUCACCAGGGGUGUGGGGAGGGGCGAUGGGGAGUUAGUGUUUGAUGGGUAUAAGGUUUCAGUUUGGGAAAAUCAUAAAGCUCUGUGGCUGGAUGGUGGUGAUAUUUAUACAACGUCAUGAAUCUACUCAGUAUCACUGAACUGCACAUUUGAAAUGGUUAACAUGGGAAAGUGUAUGUUUUGCAUAUUUUUACACACACAGAGGAAAGUUCACUUUGGCUGCAGGAUGGAGAUGGGCUACUGCAGGUGCAUGGUGACCCAGACCCCGGCAAGGGGAGCAGCUUCCAAAGGCUGCCUGCACUCCUUGGCUCGUGGCACCUUCUUCCAUCUUCCAGGCCAGCAGCACAGCAUCCUCCAGCCUCUCUCUGCUUCCAUUAUCACAUUGCCUUCUUCUUUCUGUUGUGAGAUCUCCCUCUGGCUACCUCUUGUUAAGACCCUUGAACAUUUAGGGCCCACCCAGAUAACCCAGAUCAUCUCUCCAUCUCAAGGUUCUUAAGCACAUCUGUGAAGUCCCUUUUGUUACAUAAGGUGACAUAUUUACAGGGAACAGGGAUUUGGACCUAGACAGUUUUGGGGGCAUUAUGUAGCCUCCUACAGCUACCAACAAUUCCUCCUGUCCCUGUGUGCACAUGCCACUCUUCCCAUUGGAAGUGGAGUCUAUUUCCUCUCCUCUUAAAUCUGGGCUGGCCUGGGAUUUGUCUGACACUAUUCCAGUCUUGGGCUAGGCAGUAGCUUCUGCCUUUACUAUUUUGGAUUCUUAGAGGUGGCAUGUAAAGAGAUCUGACAACUCUGAUGGAAAGAGGAAUAGUUGGGAGGUCACUGAAGGGUAGGGAGAGAGAGAGGGGUGCCCAGCCAGACCCCAGUUUUCCAGCCCCACCAGCCAUGACAGCAAGCAUGGGAGUGAAGCCAUCUCGGAUCCUCUAGCCCUAGCUGAGUCACCCCAGCUGACACUGUGUGGAGCAGAGAUGAACCAUCCCAGCUGAGCCCUGCCCAGGUUUCUGACACACAAAGUGUGAGGCUCUUAUUUCAAGCCACUAACAGUAUAAUCACCAGCUGCAGGGAGGGUGCUUUGAGAGCAAGGAAUAGGCUGCCUGCUUUGGAGCAGUCAGUGGGGAACAGGAGCUGCUACAGGCAACCUGGGUGUCCCUGGGUAGUCUCAAGGUGGUAACGCACCCUUUCUGAGCCUUGUUUCCCCCAGAGAGGUGGACUAAAGGCUCCUGAGGACAUUUCAGUAUGCUGCCGGCCUCUGGAGUCUCUCUGUGGCUGCCCUGGACUCCCAGGGUGUGUGGGUCCCGAGGACUCCAACAAUUCCAUUUAAGGUGUUUUGUGCCAGUUCUUAGAGCAUUAGCAUCUUGGCCAGGUUUCGUGAGGAGUAAUUCUCUGGGGUCCUUGUAUCAGUCAGGAUUCAACCAGAGAAUAAACAAAUGGGAGGCAGAUAUUGAGGGAUUUAUUGGGAGGAGUUGGCUUAGGUGACCGUAGGGCCUGGCCAGGUAAGUCUGGAAUCCAUGGAGAGAUGGUGAGGACAGGCUGGGUCUCUCAGGCACCUCUCAGGCCGCUGUCACAGGAGGAAUUUCUUCUUCUGCAGGGAGCCCCAGCCCAGUUCUAAGCCCUUUCCACUGAUGGAUUGGAUCAGGUCCAUCCGGGACAUCCUAGAUAUUUCUCCUUUACCUGACGUCAUGGGCUUUAAUCACAUCCACCAAAUGCCAUCACAGCAAUACCUAGAUGAGUAUUCAGGUGAAUAAGAGGACUGAGGCUUCAGCAGGUUAGCAAUUCAAAUUGCCUUCAAAUUGUCCUUCACAGUCUUCCUUUGAACAUAUGCCCCCCAAAUCCUAGGAGAGUGAAGGUGGC